UACGUAGGGGGCUAGCGUUGUCCGGAAUCAUUGGGCGUAAAGCGCGCGUAGGCGGCCCAGUAAGUCCGUUGUAAAAGUCAAAGGCUCAACCUUUGAAAGCCGAUGGAUACUGCUGGGCUAGAGUCCGGAAGAGGCGAGUGGAAUCCUGGUGUAGCGGUGAAAUGCGUAGAUAUCGAGAGGAACACCUGCGGCGAAGGCGGGUUGCUGGGCUGACACUGACGCUGAAGCGCGAAAGCUAGGGGAGCGAACGGG
rnacentral:rRNA from 1 species